rnacentral:rRNA from 1 species
GCAACCAGGCAGGAGUUAUCUCCCCUGGUAGUCCACGCAGUAAAUGACGUCGAUUAGGAGGUCGCCCCGAAGAGUCGCGGCUUGAGGAAAUAUCGUGUUAAGUCGUCCUCGUGGGGAGUACGCCCGCAAGGUUAAACCUCAAAUGAAUUGACGGGGGCCCCCACAAGCGGUGGAGCAUGUGGUUUAAUUCGAUGCAACGCGAAGAACCUUACCUACUCUUGACAUCCAGAGAACUUUCCAGAGAUGGAUUGGUGCCUUCGGGAACUCUGAGACAGGUGCUGCAUGGCUGUCGUCAGCUCGUGUUGUGAAAUGUUGGGUUAAGUCCCGCAACGAGCGCAACCCUUAUCCUUUGUUGCCAGCGGUUAGGCCGGGAACUCAAAGGAGACUGCCAGUGAUAAACUGGAGGAAGGUGGGGAUGACGUCAAGUCAUCAUGGCCCUUACGAGUAGGGCUACACACGUGCUACAAUGGCGCAUACAAAGAGAAGCGACCUCGCGAGAGCAAGCGGACCUCAUAAAGUGCGUCGUAGUCCGGAUUGGAGUCUGCAACUCGACUCCAUGAAGUCGGAAUCGCUAGUAAUCGUGGAUCAGAAUGCCACGGUGAAUACGUUCCCGGGCCUUGUACACACCGCCCGUCACACCAUGGGAGUGGGUUGCAAAAGAAGUAGGUA